AUGGAAGCUCUAAAGUCUCCAGCUUCCCCCAAAUCGCCACCACCCCAAACCCUAGAACAGCCGCCGGCGCCGCAUCAAGGAGAUGGGCCAGCAGUCCAAAAGGACGCGUGCGCCGGAGCCUCAGGUCGUCCCGCCAUCGCUGCUCAAUUCGUUCCGCCGUUGAUGCCGCAUCUCGUCCCGCCGUCGGCGCCACACCUCGUCCCGCCGCCGUCGGCGCCACACCUCGUCCCGCCACCACGCCAGCUCGGACCAGGUGCCUCGAUCCCCCCACGGCCACCAAAGGCAGCAACGGCCUCUGCACCAUGCUGGCUGCCCCAGACGCAAGGCCCUUUGUGGUACACGAAUGUUGAUGAUCUGAAUCCAGAAGCAUGGGGAGUGGAUUCUCACCCACCUGGUGGGUUCCUUGGUUUUUUUAAGAACAUGCCAAGCCUUUCCCAAGCUGUGAGCAAUGGGACUUCAUCGCAACAAAUCAAGAAAGGAGAUGCCACCAAUGGUGGCGAGUGUGCAGGACUAUGCCUUACAUACAUUUUAUGGAGGAUCAACAUUAUAUCUUACAUACAUUUUAUUCCAGGACUAUGA
rnacentral:rRNA from 1 species